GAUGAACGCUGGCGGCGUGCCUAAUACAUGCAAGUCGAGCGAACGGACGAGAAGCUUGCUUCUCUGAUGUUAGCGGCGGACGGGUGAGUAACACGUGGAUAACCUACCUAUAAGACUGGGAUAACUUCGGGAAACCGGAGCUAAUACCGGAUAAUAUUUUGAACCGCAUGGUUCAAAAGUGAAAGACGGUCUUGCUGUCACUUAUAGAUGGAUCCGCGCUGCAUUAGCUAGUUGGUAAGGUAACGGCUUACCAAGGCAACGAUGCAUAGCCGACCUGAGAGGGUGAUCGGCCACACUGGAACUGAGACACGGUCCAGACUCCUACGGGAGGCAGCAGUAGGGAAUCUUCCGCAAUGGGCGAAAGCCUGACGGAGCAACGCCGCGUGAGUGAUGAAGGUCUUCGGAUCGUAAAACUCUGUUAUUAGGGAAGAACAUAUGUGUAAGUAACUGUGCACAUCUUGACGGUACCUAAUCAGAAAGCCACGGCUAACUACGUGCCAGCAGCCGCGGUAAUACGUAGGUGGCAAGCGUUAUCCGGAAUUAUUGGGCGUAAAGCGCGCGUAGGCGGUUUUUUAAGUCUGAUGUGAAAGCCCACGGCUCAACCGUGGAGGGUCAUUGGAAACUGGAAAACUUGUGUGCAGAAGAGGAAAGUGGAAUUCCAUGUGUAGCGGUGAAAUGCGCAGAGAUAUGGAGGAACACCAGUGGCGAAGGCGACUUUCUGGUCUGUAACUGACGCUGAUGUGCGAAAGCGUGGGGAUCAAACAGGAUUAGAUACCCUGGUAGUCCACGCCGUAAACGAUGAGUGCUAAGUGUUAGGGGGUUUCCGCCCCUUAGUGCUGCAGCUAACGCAUUAAGCACUCCGCCUGGGGAGUACGACCGCAAGGUUGAAACUCAAAGGAAUUGACGGGGACCCGCACAAGCGGUGGAGCAUGUGGUUUAAUUCGAAGCAACGCGAAGAACCUUACCAAAUCUUGACAUCCUUUGACAACUCUAGAGAUAGAGCCUUCCCCUUCGGGGGACAAAGUGACAGGUGGUGCAUGGUUGUCGUCAGCUCGUGUCGUGAGAUGUUGGGUUAAGUCCCGCAACGAGCGCAACCCUUAAGCUUAGUUGCCAUCAUUAAGUUGGGCACUCUAAGUUGACUGCCGGUGACAAACCGGAGGAAGGUGGGGAUGACGUCAAAUCAUCAUGCCCCUUAUGAUUUGGGCUACACACGUGCUACAAUGGACAAUACAAAGGGCAGCGAAACCGCGAGGUCAAGCAAAUCCCAUAAAGUUGUUCUCAGUUCGGAUUGUAGUCUGCAACUCGACUACAUGAAGCUGGAAUCGCUAGUAAUCGUAGAUCAGCAUGCUACGGUGAAUACGUUCCCGGGUCU
rnacentral:rRNA from 1 species